rnacentral:lncRNA from 1 species
AGGCGGGCGCGGAGCUGCGCGGAGUGACAAAGCCGCCGCGGCCGCCGCUGGGGGUGGGAGCCGCGCUCGCCCGCCCCUCGACUCGGGAGAGCGUAAAAGUUUGUCUCAGCUCCAGCAUCCCGAUCCUCAACACGCCCUCAGUACAGAGGCAGGCAGUCGAGGGCAGAGGAAGCGGCAGAGGAGAGGGAGCCCAGGAGAGGAGAGAGGCCGUGGAGGGGGACGGAGCCGAGGAAGAGGAGGCGGAGGCGAGCGCCCGGGAACCCGAGGCCCCCCGGACGCCCUCGGACCCCGCACCGUGCGCCCUGGGCACCCGAAGCCACGCCGGGCCGAGUCCUUCCCACCCAGACAGGGAUGGAGAAACGGAAAUACCACCACCCUCCAGCCAAACCUGGGAGGACUGAUUGCAGGGGAGCUGCUGCUCCAGAUGUUGCACUAGAGGCGCUGCGAGUGUGAGCAGGUGGCAGUGGGCAACAUCAUGGGUUGUAGCAGAUGUUCUCAACAUUUCUUUUGAAACUUCUUUAUAUUGCCUUGCAAGAGGAGCCCUAGAGCCUCAUCCCUGGGGUAGCUACUAUGCUCUGAUGUAAGCUGUUGUCCACCAGGGAGCUUUGGCAAGAGAAUUGGCCAGAUCACCAACUUCAUCUCCACUGUAGAAAAACAACUUGAAGCUCAUCUCUGUUGAAGGCUAUUUCUUUUGCUGUAAGAGAGGCAUACAACAACUCAUUUACAAGCCGAGCUAAAGAAGAGAAAAAAAACAAAGCAUGAUGCAACCAGAGAGAAGGAUCCUGCCUGCUUCGGUAGCCCUGUCCAAAGCAGAUAUACUGUCUGUAGGACAGGGGUAGACUGAAUACCUGCUUCACUGAAUACCUGCUUCACAGCACCUUUCACAUUUUCUUGUUGGAAAGACAACCGUUGGAGAAUCAUCUUGUUACCAUCAGCAAAAAUGCAAACAAAUCAAGACAUUAAGAAUGCCACAGUGGCCAGCAGUUAAUGAUGCCAGUGUUACACAAGCUUCAGCAAAGUUUUCAAGACAGUGUGCCUCACUAGCCAGGAAUCAGGGAAGAUUGAACCUAUCCUUUUUGUCUCAGCUGUUCCUCAAAUCAGUGCAACCCCUCCAAAUUAAUGUGAAUUGAAACAUGCAUUGCCUUUUCAACUUAAUUGAGUACUUACUAUGGGUGAAUCACUGCACAAAAUAGGGGAGGGAAAAUGAGGGAGACAAGUAAGAUGUGUUUCCUGCCUUCAAUGGAUUUACAAUUAGUUUCAGGGCACUUUUUUUUUUCCCUGCUGCUCUUAAUUAAGUGUGUUUCUAAGAUAGAAAACAAAUGAAUGGAAAAGUGUAUUCUGUAAGUAUUUUAAAUCCCUUUAAUAAAAAACAAAACAAAACAGCCUAAUGUGGGCAACUCAGGACAUCUUAAUUCCAUUUGUUUGGACUUUUGAUAGGUAGGAUUUAUUUUAUUCAUUCUGUAAAUAUUUGGUAGACUUUAGAGAUAUUAACACAUUAGAUUUGGAAUUAAUUGAAUUCAAUUCUCCCCCCACUCCCGAGAUAUAGAUUAUCUGUUGAAAAAUAUAUUGUGUUUGUACAUUUCUUGCAGAGUGGGUAGGUGAAUUACAUCUGUUGUCUCUGUAGGCCUCUACCUUCUGUGCCUUAGGAACCUGACAUCAUGUGAGCUAUUAGCUUCGGGAAAGGGGGAGAUUUAGAUCAAACUUGGGAAUGUUGUUCAUGGACCCAGCAUAGGGUUGGGAUAGGGGCAAAAGAGACCUGGGCAAUGACUCUGUAGGAAACUUUGGCUAUUUUGGUAUUCAUGUGUUGUCCUCUAUGCUACAAAAUUACGUUUUUUUUUUUUUUUUUUUUUUUUUGAAGACUUAUUUCUGAUCUGGGAAUAAGUCAUGAUUCUUCCAGUGUUAAGAUGCUAAUAUGACUGUAGAGAUUAGACAUUUUAUGUGGUGUAUGUAACACAUUUUUGUAUGUAUGAAGCAACAAUAGACAUGUCUUUGUCUUGAGUGGUGUCCAUCUGAAUGGAAAAUGUGCCAGCUUUUUUUUUUUUUUUUUAAACAUCAUCAACAGGCUUCUUAAUUAAGCUGCCACUAUAUACUGCCAAUAGCACUGUGUGGCAUUUGAGAAAUGAAUUGUGAAGUGCCGUUUCCCUCUUAUUGAAUAAACAAUGUUGCUCCAUAUAAAA